GAUGAACGCUGGCGGCAUGCCUAAUACAUGCAAGUCGAACGAGAGGAAGGAAAGCUUGCUUUUCUGAAUCUAGUGGCGAACGGGUGAGUAACACGUAGGUAACCUGCCCAUGUGCCCGGGAUAACUUCUGGAAACGGAUGCUAAAACCGGAUAGGUAGCAGACAAGCAUUUGACUGCUAUUAAAGUGGCUAAGGACAUGAACAUGGAUGGAACUGCGGGUCAUUAGCUAGUUGGUGAGGGAACGGCCCACCAAGGCGACGAUGCAUAGCCGGCCUGAGAGGGCGGACGGCCACAUUGGGACUGAGCCACGGCCCAAACUCCUACGGGAGGCAGCAGUAGGGAAUUUUCGUCAAUGGGGGGAACCCUGAACGAGCAAUGCCGCGUGAGUGAGGAAGGUCUUCGGAUCGUAAAGCUCUGUUGUAAGAGAAAAACGACAUUCAUAGGGAAUGAUGAGUGAGUGAUGGUAUCUUACCAGAAAGUCACGGCUAACUACGUGCCAGCAGCCGCCGCAGUAA
rnacentral:rRNA from 1 species